rnacentral:rRNA from 1 species
AUGGUCACCCGACGAGCCCGUCGCGCCGAGCAUCUCCACUGCUCGGUCCGCUACGCCAGCGAUCGCCGAGUUUCCAGCGGCUCGGCCUUUUUCGCCAGCGGCCACCGAGUCGCCCGCGGCUCGACCCGUCACGCCGUCUUCGCCUGCGGCUCGGCCCGUCACGCCGUCUUCGCCCGCGGCUCGGGUCCUCACGUCGCCUUCAUCCGUGGAUCGGCCCGCGACACCGGCCGCGCCACGGCCACUAUGCCGAGCUCGCCAACGGCCCGGUCUGUGAUGCAGGAGUCGCCAGCUGCUUCGUCUGCUCUGCUGGUUUCGCCGGUGGGCCGGCCUUCUUCGUCGACCGAGUCCGAGGCUACCGUGACUGGCUCCUCGUCACCGGCUGACUCGUCAACGUCGCCGUCCUCCAGCCCGUUGCAGGCUGCUCCGUCGACCUCGGUGGUUCCUGUGUCCCGACCACAUACACGCAGUCGCAGUGGCAUUUUCAAACCUAAGGAACGUAAGGAUGGUACGGUUGCUUGGUUGGCUGCUUGUUUGGCUGCUGCUGUUGCGGAUCCAUCUUCUGAGCCUCGCUCAUAUCAGGCUGCCCUGCGCAUUCCACAUUGGCGAGAGGCUAUGGAGCAGGAGUUUCAUGCUCUUCUUCGUAACAAGACAUGGACUCUCGUUCCUCCACCACCACGGGUAAAUGUUAUUGACUCAAAAUGGGUAUUCAAAGUGAAGAAGCAUUCGGAUGGAUCUAUUGAGCGUUACAAAGCGCGACUUGUUGCUCGCGGUUUUCGGCAGCGUCAUGGUCUUGACUAUGAGGACACCUUCAGUCCUGUCGUCAAGCCUACCACUAUUCGGCUUCUUCUCUCCAUUGCUGUUUCUCGUGGUUGGUCACUUCGUCAGCUUGAUGUGCAGAAUGCUUUUCUACAUGGAUUUUUGGAGGAAGAGGUUUAUAUGAAAUAG